rfam:Ovis aries breed Texel chromosome 17, whole genome shotgun sequence.
UCCCUGGUGGCUUAGCGGGUAAAGCGUCUGCCUCCAAUGCAGGAGACCCGGGUUUGAUCCCUGGGUCGGGAA